rnacentral:rRNA from 2 species
ACCUUAGGGCCUUGCGCUAUUUGAGCGGCCGAUGUCUGAUUAGCUAGUUGGUGGGGUAAGAGCCCACCAAGGCGACGAUCAGUAGCGGGUCUGAGAGGAUGAUCCGCCACACUGGGACUGAGACACGGCCCAGACUCCUACGGGAGGCAGCAGUGGGGAAUUUUGGACAAUGGGCGCAAGCCUGAUCCAGCCAUGCCGCGUGUAUGAAGAAGGCCUUCGGGUUGUAAAGUACUUUUGUCAGGGAAGAAAAGCCUGAGGAUAACACCCUCAGGUCAUGACGGUACCUGAAGAAUAAGCACCGGCUAACUACG